CCUACGGGGGGCUACAGUGGGGAAUAUUGGACAAUGGGGGCAACCCUGAUCCAGCCAUGCCGCGUGUGUGAAGAAGGCCCUCGGGUUGUAAAGCACUUUCAGUGAGGAAGAACGCCUGGUGGUUAAUACCCAUCAGGAAAGACAUCACUCACAGAAGAAGCACCGGCUAACUCCGUGCCAGCAGCCGCGGUAAUACGGAGGGUGCGAGCGUUAAUCGGAAUUACUGGGCGUAAAGCGCGCGUAGGUGGCUUGAUAAGCCGGUUGUGAAAGCCCCGGGCUCAACCUGGGAACGGCAUCCGGAACUGUCAAGCUAGAGUGCAGGAGAGGAAGGUAGAAUUCCCGGUGUAGCGGUGAAAUGCGUAGAGAUCGGGAGGAAUACCAGUGGCGAAGGCGGCCUUCUGGACUGACACUGACACUGAGGUGCGAAAGCGUGGGUAGCAAACAGGAUUAGAUACCCUGGUAGUC
rnacentral:rRNA from 1 species